CCUUAGGGUUGUAAAGUUCUUUUACUUGGGAACAAAGGCUAGUGGGUAAUAUCCACUGGAGAUGAGGGUACCAAGAGAAUAAGCACCGGCUAACUACGUGC
rnacentral:rRNA from 1 species